GUCCCAGUAGCUCAGCUGGAUAGAGCGACAGACUUCUAAUCUGUAGGUCGUGGGUUCGACUCCCUCCUGGGACACCA
rnacentral:tRNA from 1 species